AAAUAUUCACACACUUUGAAUCAUAUUGGGUGAAUAGUUAUGGACUAAGCUAACUCAAAAGACUAUGCUAAUCUAAUAUUCAAUUAACAGUUCUAAUAUCAAACAAAAAGAUAGAAUCACAAUCUAGCUAAAUAUAGUCGAACAGUCCAAAUGGAGAUAUCAAACACAGUUCAAUUAAUACAACUAGAUACAUUCUAUCAAGCAUAUAGGGAUAUGUCUAGAACUAAUCGCAUUUCGAAUAGCAAGUCUAGGACAGUGCACAAACUUUAAUUGUAUUUCAUGUUCAAGAGCUAAGUUACAUCCACACGGCUGAGAAUGUGUACCGGGAUUUUUGAAUAGCAAAAAGGAAAAUGAAGGAGCCAGCAAAAGUCUAUAUGCAGCGAUGAACAACCAAGCACAAGAAUCACAACCCAGAAACGAGAAACCAAUCUAGAAUGAGUUGAAAUUCAACAGCAGCAACAAUAACUAAACCAAGGGACUGAAUGAACGCAGAAAUUGCUUAUAAUCAAUUACGAAUAACUCAAAAACUUCAGGAACCAAAGGGAACAAAAAAAUGGGAAUUGAUAACUAUAAUAUCAAAAGUAGGCUAUCAUUUCUAAUGAAGCAAUGAUUUUUUUUGAUUUUUCUGUUUUCUGUGUGUGUUUUUUUGUAUCGUUUGUAUAUCUGUCUGCAGAAACUAAAUUGAAACUUAACAGGAAAAGAGAAUGGAUUGUUCUCUGAAUUUUUAUCUCUCGCCCCCUCCUAAAGCAUGCAACAUGACCCUUUAUAGGCAAUAGUGAGGGCAACCCUCAAAUUCCUAUUUUACACUAAUAGCCCCUCAUUAUUUCUGCUUAAGUCCUCUAAUUUUGAACUUGAUGCUCAAGUAAAUACUACCCAAAAGCUGGGUGUUACAAUUUAACCCUAAUCUAGAAGUUUCUCACCUAGGAUUCCUUAAGUACAUUUUCCUUUUUUAUCCCUUAUUAACCUUAGCCAUUUUACCCUCUUAUCAUUUCCCUCAAAAUAUCUGCACCUCACAUGCUAUUCCAGCCUUAUCCUCUAGAAGUUUUCCCAUACAGAAAAUAUUCCCUUUCCCAACGACCAAAGCACGCCUAGACAGCCUAAAAAUUACUAACACUCCAUUAUCCACAACAAACAAUUACCCCAGUCUAUCUAAACUAUGGUUAACUAAGAAGUAAUUCAUUUCAGCUAUAACUAAUCUCACAAACAAAACAAACGACCCAAAUUCAAUCCAGAAGAACAAAUGGCCAAAAUCAAAACAAAAUCUCAAAACCAUAUCUUAUUGGGCGUCCAAACUAACCACGAAUCAAAACAAAUCAGAAUUUAAACAAAAGACUGAGAACCAGCCUAAGACGAAUUAACUUAUCAAUUUUAAUAAUUACAAUAUGAACUCAGGUUUUAACUAGGAAUUAAACUCAUGAUCGAUUGAACUAAAAAAAACGAUGAAACAAAUUAAAAGCUAAAGAAAGAAGAACUUACUAAAUUCAGCCUUUGAAUCAAAAUUUCCCGAAUCUCCGAUUCGACUCGAAAUCGAUAUUGACCGCAUGUUCUCCUUGAGAAUAAACCGACCAAUAUUGAUUCCAAAACUAAUCGUUCUCAAAAGCUUGAAGGCUAUGAGAAGUUCCUCUUCGCUUUAACUCUAAAUCGAAGCUGGCCCGACUUGGUGGGGAUUUGAUGAGAAAUAGAGGUUGAUUUAGGACUCGGGGUGAACGACGGUGGCGUGGUUGAACUCUAAAGGUGGAUGGACCUUCUCGCUGGCCGGAAAUGGCGGACUGGGAUUAAGGUUCUUCUGGUGAUUGAGAGAAGAUAAAUAAGGAGAGGCUUCAGAACUGAAGUGGUCUCUAUGGAGUUUUCGAACAUAUUGAUGUUAAAGAGGG
rnacentral:lncRNA from 1 species